rnacentral:rRNA from 1 species
UACGUAGGGUGCAAGCGUUGUCCGGAAUUAUUGGGCGUAAAGAGCUCGUAGGCGGUCUGUCGCGUCUGCUGUGAAAACUCAGGGCUUAACCCUGAGCUUGCAGUGGGUACGGGCAGACUAGAGUGCGGUAGGGGAGACUGGAAUUCCUGGUGUAGCGGUGAAAUGCGCAGAUAUCAGGAGGAACACCGGUGGCGAAGGCGGGUCUCUGGGCCGUAACUGACGCUGGAGACGCGAAAGCGUGGGGAGCGAACAGG